rnacentral:lncRNA from 1 species
CUGGACACUCGUCCAGGCUCCUAGGCCUUGCCCAAUGCCCCUGCCCAACGGCCCAUCAGCCUCACGCCCCCAGCAGCACCCCGUGUGUGCCGCCCCACCACGGGCUAGCCUCAGGUCAUUUCGGGCAGCGGCCUCCAGAAGGGUGACGCUGGCAGGGAAGAGGACCCGCUUCUGCAGCCUGCCGCUGGCUGCCUCCUUCCACGGCCGCUCCCGGUGGCCCUUCUUGCCCUGUGCCUCCUUNNNNNNNNNNNNNNNNNNNNNNNNNNNNNNNNNNNUCCGCCAGCAGCUCCAGGGAAGCUGACCUGAACCACCCACCCCAAGAGACCAUAAGUGAGGAGCAAGGCACGCAGUCUCCAGCCGUGGCAAGGGGAGGGGACCCCCAGGCCACGGCUCCCCAGCAGUGAGCUCACAGGGUCACAGGGACCAGUUGCACUUCUUGAAGACGGGCGCCAGCACCAAAGCCACCACCUGACUGUGUCAAGUUGAGCCAGACUUAAAAGGUGUCGCCCACCCUAUCACUUCACAGACUAAAAGAGGUUCCGAAGCCCAUGUCCUCCAGAAAACAACCAAAAAGAGCAAGCAGCUUUUUAAACUGAACACGUGUCUUGGUUCACUCAUUUUGAAGGCCAUCCACGAAAAUUCAUCAGGAAGCAGGAUCUGGAGAGCCUAGCAUCCCCUCCCCCAACCUAGCCACAGUGGGAAGAACACUGGCCAGUGCACACUGGAGACUCUGGUCUCCUGGUUUGGGCUGCGGCAGCUUACUCGGGUCCUCAGCCCCUGACUCAGGCUCCUGAAGCCCUGGAUCUGCUCUGGAGCCCUUCAGCAGUGCUCCUUGCUGGAAGAUGCCUGAGGGCAAUCUCCCUGUAACUUUGGGCACGUCCUUGGGCUGCUGACUAUGUUCUCUGAGCCCAAGGUGACCCUAAGAUGACCGUGGGAGUGCCAGGGAAACACUACAGUGGGCGCCCAAUCCCAGGACAGUCUCCAUGCAGGGGUGGCCCCUCCAGGCUCACCCCUAAGCCUUCUGGGCCCCAGCCCCCUGGACCCUGCCUGAUGCCCCUCCCCAGGCCUCACUCAGCUGCCUCCUCCCAGCCACAGUCCAGGAAUCGACCACCAGAAGUAGAAGACUCGACCCUCAACUGAGCUGCCAAGGCCAAGAUGGCUUAGUGGAGUCCCACGGAAUGGCCAGUGCACCACAGCCAGGCCUCAGGGGGUAGGGGGUGGUAAGCAGGGCCUCUCCCACCUUGUUCACAAAUCCUCCCCCAAGUCUCACUAGAAUGUCAAACAGAUAAUCUGGGCGACUU